AAAAUUAUUCUAUUAUCCAAUGCCAGUUAAUUAACAGUGAAAUUAAAAUAAUAAUAAUAAUAACAUAUGAUUUUUUUUUACACUUUUAAAAUUGUAUUUCAGUUUAUUUUAAGACUUACAUGAUAUUAUAUAACAAUUUGCAGAAGAAGGGAAAACAAGAAAACUUCUCUUGUUUUUUCUCUCUUUGGAUUUCGCCAUCGGAGUCUAGAUCUCGCCUCUGCCGAGCAUAGUCAGGUAUUUCUUGCUCUUUGGGCGGGGGACGACCCCCCUUCUCUAGUCCGGAGUGGUUCCACCCUCACCCCUCUGAGUGUGGCUGUAGAUAGAUUUUGGCUUUGUGUUGUGUUUGUUUGUUUGCAGGCUGUGGUUCAUCUGUGAGGGCGAUCUAAAACCUGCGAUGAAACAUGCAAUGACUUGGUUCCAAGGCUUAUGGCAGUGUGACUCUCCUGUUGGUUUUGUGUUUUGCUAAGAGGUUAGGGUGGUCGAUGACCGCAUUUCUCGAUUUAUAACCGAGUCUGCUGAGACAACCCUGUUUCAAUCUGGAUAGAAAGACGACGGCAUAGCCUUUAACUUGUCCGAAUCCUACUUCAGGUCAAACCACUUCUAGAGUUUGGUUUGUGCUAGGCUUUGGCCUUUUCUUUAGUUUGACUAUUUGGAUUGAUUUGGCUUGGAUAGCCUGUUAUGGUCUUUUUUUUGUAGGUCUAAAACUUAGUUUAUCUGGCUUGAGCUUAUGAGAGAAUUU
rnacentral:misc_RNA from 1 species